rfam:Cajanus cajan CcLG02_1200, whole genome shotgun sequence.
GCGCCUGUGGCCUAAUGGAUAAGGCGCCUGACUUCUAAUCAGGCGAUUGUGGGUUCGAGUCCACGUGGCUGGA